AGACAGAGUGUCGCCUUGUCGCCCAGGCUGGAGUUCAGUGGCUCAGUAUUGGCUCACUGCAACCUCUGCCUCCCAGGUGCAAACGAUUCUCCUGCCUCAGACUCCCAAGUAGCUGGCACUACAGCUGUCUGCCACCACACCCAGCUAAUUCUGUUGUAUUUUAGUAGAGACAGGGUUUCACCCUGUUGGCCAGGCUGCUCUCGAACUCCUGACCUCAAGUGAUCUGCCCGCCUUGGCCUCCCUAAGUGCUGGGAUUACAGACGUGAGCCAUUGCGCCUGGCCUUUUUCUUUUUUUCUUUUUUUGAGACGGAGUCUUGCUCUCUCGCCCGGGCUGGAGUGCAGUGGUGCGAUCUCGGCUCACUGCAAGCUCCAUCUCCCGGGUUCUCGCCAUUCUCCUGCUUCAGCCUCCUGAGUAGUUGGGACUACAGGCGCCCACCACCACAUCCGGCUAAUUUUUUGUAUUUUUAGUAGAGACUGGGUUUCAUUGUGUUAGCCAGGAUGGUCUCGAUCUCCUGACCUCGUUGAUCCGCCCGCCUCAGCCUCCCAAAGUGCUGGGAUUACAGGUGUUAGCCACCACAGCCGGCCCUCUUUUUUUUUGAGAUGGAGUCUCGCUUUGUUGCCCAGGCUGGAGUGCAGUGGCGCAAUCUUGGCUCACUGCAGCCUCUGCCUCCCGGGUUCAAGCGAUUCUCCUGCUUCGGCCCCCUGAGUAGCUGGGAUUACAGGCACGUGCCACCACACCCAGCUAAUUUUUGUAUUUUUAGUAGAGACGGGGUUUCACCAUGUUGGCCACGCUGGUCUUGAGCUCCUGACCUCGUGAUCUUCCCGCCUCAGCUCCCCACAGUGCUGGGAUUCCAGGCGUGAGCUGCUGUACCUGCCCAUGAUAACUUUCUCACCACCACCAACUUCAGUUUCCCUCGCUGCUGUAAUAAUCAGUUCCCUGAGCUGGGCCUUGAGGUCCGAGUUCAUCUCCAGCUCCAGAAGAAUCUAAGAAGGCAAGAACACCAGGGUCAACCCUCAGUGCGUGUAUGAGCACCCCCAGCCUCAUUUUUGUGUUUUCUAUAGAGAUGGGGUCUCGCUGUGUUGCCCAUGCUGGUCCUGAACUCCUUAUCUCAAGUGAUCCUCCUGCCUCGGCCUCCUAAAGUGCUGGGAUUACAGCCAUCAGCCGCCGUGUCCGGCUUUAAAAAGCAAUCCUAAAAAUCGUAAACAAAAUGACACAGAGGAACCUUAUUGCUCAUCGAGCCAUGCAAGAAAGGAACCGUUUAUUUCCAGCAAGUUUAAAACAUCGAUUUGACCUCCAGCCAUGGUCGAUGAGAUGUUAGAAAACCAACUCUCUUGCUGACAACAACGAGAAAAUCUUGAUACCAUUUAGCAAAAAGAAGUCUGUGGGGGAGGCGUUGGAGAGUGACGGAACUGCCACGGCCUGAGGCACCCGGCUUCCGGAGCCUCUGGCAGCCCAGAGAAGUCUCUGUCUUGUCGCCCAGGCUGGGGUACAGUGGUGCCAUCUCAGCUGACUGCAACCUCCGCCUCCGGGUUCAAGUGAUUGUCCUGCCUCAGCCUCCUGAGUAGCUGGGAUUACAGGCGCCCACCACCAUGCCUGGACGUCCCAGUGAUCGGGAGGAGCGGGAAGAGCUUCAGCUACAACCAGGACGUGGUGCUGCUGCUUCUGACAGACGGAGUCCUGUUCCACCUUCAGAGCGUCACGGCGUACGCCCUCAUGGGGAAAAUCUCCCCGGUGACUUUCAGGCCCAGUAAAUGCGGAUGUUUAUCUUCCAUUGUUUGUUUCCUGAGAUUCAGAUGUCUAAAGCAUUUUUCUGUGACUUUUCAAGGCAAGAGGAAAACCUGACAUAUGGAAAGGGAAUUAAUUGCUCGUUUUAUCCUCUUCUCCUGCAAUGCUCUGAAUCCAUGGGUUUGGAGUGGGGCCCUGGGAGUUGGGGGAAGCACCAUACCCAGUGAGUCUGCACUUUGAGGACCCACUGCCAGUGUCAGCUUCAAAAUCACAUUGUAAAAGGCCCGGCGCGGUGGCUCACGCCUGUAAUCCCAGCACUUUAGGAGGACGAAGCAGGCGGAUCACUUGAGGUCAGGAGUUCGAGACCAGCCUGGCCAAUAUGGCGAAACCUCGUCUCUACCAAAAAUAUAAAAAUUAGCCGGGCGUGGUGGCGCGGGCCUGUGGUUCCAGCUACUCGGGAGGCUGAGGCAGGAAAAUUCCUUGAACCCGGGAGGAGGCUGCAGUGAGCCAAGACCACGCCACUGCACUCCAACCUGGGCGGCAGAGCAAGGCUCCGACUCAAAAGUAAAUACAUGAAUAAAUAAAAUAAAAUCACAUCGUAAGAGCUCUCCCUGCUUUGUUUCUGAGUAAGGUUCAGAGUUAAAUUCCGAGAUCGGCCUUUACAAGACACACAGACCUGAGGCGCCUCACGAGGUAACCAGCAGGCGCAAACUGCUCCAAAAGUCGGCGUCGCUCUGCUCGGCGCCCCGGCCCGCGCCGAAGUCGGAAGUGCAGCUCACGGCGCAGUUUCUUUUGGAGUCCUGGACCUGAGCAAGCGCUGUUUUAUGCGUCAUCAUCCCGCGCAGACACAGGAAGUGCCGCACAGAGCGAGCCCCUGUCGUCUUGAGUUCUGGGCCAGAGGUCGGCUAUUAUAUCAUCAUUAGGCGUCAACACAGGAAGUGAGGAUACUUCUGGCGAGCGCCGGUUGCUGUUUCUUCUCAGGCUCAGGGACCGGCCGCGGCCCCGUAGGGUGUUUUAACUCAAAUGGGUGAUGAAAAGGACUCUUGGAAAGUGAAAACUUUAGAUGAAAUUCUUCAGGAAAAGAAACGAAGGAAGGAACAAGAGGAGAAAGCAGAGAUAAAACGCUUAAAAAAUUCUGAUGACCGGGAUUCCAAGCGGGAUUCCCUUGAGGAGGGGGAGCUGAGAGAUCACUGCAUGGAGAUCACAAUAAGGAACUCCCCGUAUAGAAGAGAAGACUCAAUGGAAGACAGAGGAGAAGAAGAUGAUUCUUUGGCCAUCAAACCACCCCAGCAAAUGUCUCGGAAAGAAAAAGUUCAUCACAGAAAAGAUGAAAAGAGAAAAGAAAAAUGUAGGCAUCAUAGCCAUUCAGCAGAAGGGGGGAAGCAUGCUAGAGUGAAAGAAAGAGAGCACGAACGUCGGAAACGACAUCGAGAAGAACAGGAUAAAGCUCGCCGGGAAUGGGAAAGACAGAAGAGAAGGGAAAUGGCAAGGGAGCAUUCCAGGAGAGAAAGGGACCGCUUGGAGCAGUUAGAAAGGAAGCGGGAGCGGGAGCGCAAGAUGCGGGAGCAGCAGAAGGAGCAGCGGGAGCAGAAGGAGCGCGAGCGGCGGGCGGAGGAGCGGCGCAAGGAGCGGGAGGCCCGCAGGGAAGUGUCUGCACAUCACCGAACGAUGAGAGAGGACUACAGCGACAAAGUGAAAGCCAGCCACUGGAGUCGCAGCCCGCCUCGGCCGCCGCGGGAGCGGUUCGAGUUGGGAGACGGCCGGAAGCCAGUAAAAGAAGAGAAAAUGGAAGAAAGGGACCUGCUGUCCGACUUACAGGACAUCAGCGACAGCGAGAGGAAGACCAGCUCGGCCGAGUCCUCGUCAGCGGAAUCAGGCUCAGGUUCUGAGGAAGAAGAGGAGGAGGAGGAAGAGGAGGAGGAGGAAGGGAGCACCAGUGAAGAAUCAGAGGAGGAGGAGGAGGAAGAGGAAGAGGAGGAGGAGGAGACCGGCAGCAACUCUGAGGAGGCAUCAGAGCAGUCUGCCGAAGAAGUAAGUGAGGAAGAAAUGAGUGAAGAUGAAGAACGAGAAAAUGAAAACCACCUCUUGGUUGUUCCAGAGUCACGGUUCGACCGAGAUUCCGGGGAGAGUGAAGAAGCAGAGGAAGAAGUGGGUGAGGGAACGCCGCAGAGCAGCGCCCUGACAGAGGGCGACUAUGUGCCCGACUCCCCUGCCCUGUUGCCCAUCGAGCUCAAGCAGGAGCUGCCCAAGUACCUGCCGGCCCUGCAGGGCUGCCGGAGCGUCGAGGAGUUCCAGUGCCUGAACAGGAUCGAGGAGGGCACCUAUGGAGUGGUCUACAGAGCAAAAGACAAGAAAACAGAUGAAAUUGUGGCUCUAAAGCGGCUGAAGAUGGAGAAGGAGAAGGAGGGCUUCCCGAUCACGUCCCUGAGGGAGAUCAACACCAUCCUCAAGGCCCAGCAUCCCAACAUUGUCACCGUUAGAGAGAUUGUGGUGGGCAGCAACAUGGACAAGAUCUACAUCGUGAUGAACUACGUGGAGCACGACCUCAAGAGCCUGAUGGAGACCAUGAAACAGCCCUUCCUGCCAGGGGAGGUGAAGACCCUGAUGAUCCAGCUGCUGCGGGGGGUGAAACACCUGCACGACAACUGGAUCCUGCACCGUGACCUCAAGACGUCCAACCUGCUGCUGAGCCACGCCGGCAUCCUCAAGGUGGGUGAUUUUGGGCUGGCGCGGGAGUACGGAUCCCCUCUGAAGGCCUACACCCCGGUCGUGGUGACCCAGUGGUACCGCGCCCCAGAGCUGCUGCUUGGUGCCAAGGAAUACUCCACGGCCGUGGACAUGUGGUCAGUGGGCUGCAUCUUCGGGGAGCUGCUGACUCAGAAGCCUCUGUUCCCCGGGAAUUCGGAAAUCGAUCAGAUCAACAAAGUGUUCAAGGAGCUGGGGACCCCCAGUGAGAAAAUCUGGCCCGGCUACAGUGAGCUCCCAGUAGUCAAAAAGAUGACCUUCAGCGAGCACCCCUACAACAACCUCCGCAAGCGCUUCGGGGCUCUGCUCUCAGACCAGGGCUUCGACCUCAUGAACAAGUUCCUGACCUACUUCCCCGGGAGGAGGAUCAGCGCUGAGGACGGCCUCAAGCAUGAGUAUUUCCGCGAGACCCCCCUCCCCAUCGACCCCUCCAUGUUCCCCACGUGGCCCGCCAAGAGCGAGCAGCAGCGUGUGAAGCGGGGCACCAGCCCGAGGCCCCCUGAGGGAGGCCUGGGCUACAGCCAGCUGGGUGACGACGACCUGAAGGAGACGGGCUUCCACCUUACCACCACGAACCAGGGGGCCUCUGCCGCGGGCCCCGGCUUCAGCCUCAAGUUCUGAAGGUCAGAGUGGACCCCGUCAUGGGGAGAACUCAGCCGGGACCACAGGCGUGGCUACUGCGGCUGGAGCUGCGAUGAGACUCGGAACUCCUCGUCUUACUUUGUGCUCCAUGUUUUGUUUUUGUAUUUUGGUUUGUAAAUUUGUAGAAUUAAAUCAUUUUCCUUGUUGUGGAGGAAAGAGCUGUGUUUUCUCCGUGACUUGCCAGGGCAUCUUCGGGUGCCCACGUGGGGCAGCACAAACCUCCACACACCCUCUCCCACUCUCGACAC
rnacentral:lncRNA from 1 species